GCCGAGUUCAGUAGCGCGAGCUUGUAACCCGAGUGGGGGCUUUAAGGUGGUGUGGAUGUUGCCGUAGCGCUGUGGGCCUGGUCCGGUCGUGCUAUUGCUGGCCCGCCCGUAAUGUGGCAGGCACAGCGUGAGGCUGGCUUCACAGAGCAGCGACAACUGCCCUCUUCCAACGGUGAAAGGAUAACGGGCUGCUGCACAACUGGGGCCAUUUGGGCCUCGCAGCCUACUCCAACAAACCACCAGCUUU
rnacentral:SRP_RNA from 1 species